rnacentral:rRNA from 1 species
GACAGAGGGUGCAAACGUUGCUCGGAAUUACUGGGCGUAAAGGGCGUGUAGGCGGGAAGGCAAGUCGGGCGUGAAAUCCCCAGGCUCAACCUGGGAACUGCACUCGAAACUGCCUUUCUUGAGUGCCGGAGAGGAAAGCGGAAUUCCUGGUGUAGAGGUGAAAUUCGUAGAUAUCAGGAGGAACACCAGUGGCGAAGGCGGCUUUCUGGACGGUAACUGACGCUGAGACGCGAAAGCGUGGGGAGCAAACAGG